GGAGAUCAGAAUAAUAGUGGAUGAUGAAGUAAUAAUUUAUUUUUGUCAAAGAUUUACCUUUAAACUCAUAGGCUUAAAAUUACUAAAAUUCCUGCAUACAAAAUAUUAUCAAUUGUAUUUUUUAUGCUUGAUCAAAUACACAGCUGCAAGAUCAAUAAAAAGUGGUUCAACUGAUGAGAGCACAGCAGUUAUUUCAAGUCCUUUGACAUUUGCAAUUGUUAAAAAUUUUCUUAUAAUAUAUGCUUUGAAUUAAUUGCUUUUUAGGAAGUCUCCAAACAAUAGAGAAAACCUCUUAUGAUAGUAUCAUUCGAGUUCAUAGAGACAUUGCAGUCAACCAACCAAGGGAAAACAAGAUUACUCGCGAUAUCAAAAAGGCGAUUCGUCGUUUAAUCAACGGAGAAAUAAGAAUUACACACUUUCUGAGCGCAGUGGCUCAUGGUGUCGAAAACAUUGUCAAUAGGCCACUGCCUCAGAAUGAGUGGUUCCUUCUUGAUAUUGCUGGAGAGGAUGAAGUGAUGUGAGAAGGUUGUCCGUAUCUCCAGAAGAGGUUGUAAAUAUUAGGUGGAUAGGAAAUAUUAUUAGGAUAGAUCUGUAAAUAUUAUAAUGUAUUAAUAUAUAAAUAAAUAAAUUGCAACUUGAAAAUUAUGUAGAAUA
rnacentral:lncRNA from 1 species